rnacentral:rRNA from 1 species
GAUGAACGCUGACAGAAUGAUUAACACAUGCAAGUCAACUGUGGCGGACGGGUGAGUAACGCGUAAAGAACUUGCCUCACAGCUAGGGACAACAUUUGGAAACGAAUGCUAAUACCUGAUACUGUGAGAGAGCUUUGCGUCCCAUUAGCUAGUUGGAGAGGUAACGGCUCACCAAGGCGAUGAUGGGUAGCCGGCCUGACAGGGUGAUCGGCCACAAGGGGACUGAGACACGGCCCGUACUCCUACGGGAGGCAGCAGUGGGGAAUAGUGGACAAUGGACCAGAGUCUGAUCAAGCGAUGCUGUGGGCACGAUGAAGUUGUCGGAAGGUAAAGUGCUUUAAGUUGGGAAGCAGUACCAACAGAAGAAGUGACGGCUAAAUACGUGCCAGCAGCCGCGGUAAUUC